AAUGAUGCUUGGAACGCUGCUAUUAAUACUUGGAUUCGCAGCAGUGAUCUCUUCUGGGACAGAACCUCUCCUUAUGGUUCUGUUGCUACAAAUCGCCAUCAAUGCCCAAUUGGUGUGCAUUACGAUCCUCAUGAGUAGUCAAAUUUUUCUUGCACUGGUGUUGGUUACAGUGAAAUUUGCACUGCUUUUUGCCCAAGACUUAAUGUCAUGCUUGCUGAAAAGAUGUGGAUAUUUGCGUCAGAAAGUCUUCCUUCUGCUUUGGCUCAUUCUUGAUAUUGCAUUGAGCUUUGUAAUUCUGGGCAUCACUUUGGAAAACGAUAAAGAACUCCCUGUAUGGAUGUGUUUCUAUGUAUUCCUCUACGUCCUGACUGCCACAGUGGUCUUUCAGCACAACACUGAUGAUUAUGAUGAUGUUGCAUGGGAUGUAGCUCAUAUCCUUGUGUACGUUUUUGGUUCUAUUUUAAGUGUCAUUAAUUCAGUUGCUCUAGCAACAGAAGUGUUUCUGAAAGCAGGUGAGUGCAGUAAAACAUUUUGUAUCUCAAUGAAAACAUCUGUGGUGAUUGUCCCCUUGUGUGUGAGAAGUGUGUGGAUACAGUGGCUUCAGAAAGUAUUCAAAGUAUGCAUUCCCUUUUUGCACACUUUCUUGUGUUGUAGAUAGUUUUAAAUGGAUAAAAUUGCCAAAAAUGGAUAACAACUGAUAAAUGUUUGCCCAUCAAUCUACACUCAAUAACCUAUAAUGGCAUUCCAAAUUGUGGUCAGGUGCAUCCUGUUUGCUUUAAUUGUGUGCAGUACAGGUUUGGACCACUGGAGGGUGGUUUGGUCAUUUGACAAACUUGUCAACCUAUUUACUCACAGGUGUAAUCAUUUCAGUGCAGUCAGGCCGCACCCUCGAUAAACCCUCCUCUCACAGCACUCUGUGUAAUUUGUGUUACGCUGCGGCUGGUAAACG